CUGGUAUUGAUCGUGACCUGCGCAGUGCAGUUAGAGCUUUCUAGACCAGACUUCUCUUUGUCUGAGUAUCCAGUGCGUCGCCCGAAGUCUGCCGUGCAUCACGUGUGACUCCUUCAAGACUUGCUUCUGUGUUCCGGAGCCCUAUCUUAUCACGUAGCCUUCAGUUAUGCAGGUUGCUGGUUGGGGAAGGCAUCUUUGAAAACGGCUGAUGAUUGAAGAUGCAGUCUUAAGCAGUGGGCCGUCGAGUCGAGUGAUAGGAGGCAUCAUGAUGAUCUCGCUGUACCAGCUCGCAUUCUCUCCACACGUGGCAUUGCUCCGGCACGUGGCACGCGGCGCCACUUGAGCGCGCUGCGACGGGGCGCAAGUGGCGCCACCAACACCUGAAGCGCCAAAGUCAACCUCACCUGCACGCGGCGCGCCCUGCUCAUACCGACGAGGCUCUGACGACUCCCUGCUUCCACAACAUGAGGUCGAGGAGAUGAGAUGGUAGUCUGUUUUACUUCUAAAACAGAUGCAUCAUCAUCUCUUAAUUUAGCCGACUUUUACAUGUUGGGGAUGUGGGGAAAAUAUUGUGGCAAGUGUGGAUUCAAAAGGAGGGAUUCGAAGGUCCAAAAAAUUGUUGGUCCUUUGAAUUCCUCCCGUCAAACUUUGGGUCCACACCUGACUGGUUAAGAAAUAAAAUCAUGAUAGAAGUAUUAUUGUCAUUAGGCUUAAGGUACAUUUAGGUAAACUACAUUACGUCAUAAUCGCUCAUUCAUACUUAUCUUACCUAUACUUAGACUAUUAUAUUAUCAUGAAGUAACAUUGUUUAGACAUCUUGGAAAUCAAGUGCCUAAAUAAAUAUAAAUUGAAAA